rnacentral:rRNA from 1 species
AACGCGAAGAACCUUACCUGGGCUCGAAGCGCAGUGGAAUCCGGUGGAAACAUCGGCGCCCCUUAAAAGGCUGCUGCGGAGGUGCUGCAUGGCUGUCGUCAGCUCGUGUCGUGAGAUGUUGGGUUAAGUCCCGCAACGAGCGCAACCCUUAUCGUUAGUUGCCAGCGGGUUAUGCCGGGCACUCUAGCGAAACCGCCCCGGAUAACGGGGAGGAAGGUGGGGAUGACGUCAAGUCAGCACGGCCUUUAUGUCCAGGGCUACACACGUGUUACAAUGCACGGUACAGACUGUUGCGAACCCGCGAGGGGGAGCUAAUCGGAUAAAACCGUGCUCAGUUCGGAUUGCAGUCUGCAACUCGGCUGCAUGAAGCUGGAAUCGCUAGUAAUGGCGUAUCAGAUCGACGCCGUGAAUACGUUCCCGGGCCUUGUACACACCGUGUCGA